UGCGAAAUAGCUCAGUUGGGAGAGGCGUCAGACUGAAGAUCUGAAGGUCCCUGGGUUCAAUCCCGGUUUGGCAA